CUACGAUGUAAAGUAUGUAAGGCCAACGUUCACCACAGAUGUAUGGAAUCCGUCUCAUCAUGCUCCGGUCCUGCAACACCUGAUAAGAGGAAGAUGUUGAGAAGACAGAAGAGUACCACCGAUCUUGAUACAAGGAGCUUAAGUGAUAUGAAGGGCGCCAUUAGAGAAGAACCAGUUGAUCCCAUCUACCAGACCAUCAAGUGUGCUGCCAAGUUAAC